UUGCCGCAAAUCUCUCCCAGGGUUGAUAUGAAUUCCUGAUUAUUUUUCUGACUUCUCGGAGAUUAAAUCGAGGAAGUUGUCAAUUGUUUCCCGUCUCGGCUUUAGAUCGGGAAUAUAUUGUUGUUUCGUUUCUCAUACUCUUUAGUUCUUUUCUAUAUCGUCUAAAAUUUUCUUGCUUCGUAUUUGCCGGAGCGCAGACGAUAGUUUAUUUUUGUCACAUUCUCUUCCCCUUUUUUUUCUGUUAUUCAUUUCACAUAUAUUUUUUGUCAUUAUAUUCCAGACGUUUCAUUUUUUUCCUCUUUUCCACUUCCGUCAUUCUUCAGUAAUAUAAUGUGGUAAAAAAUUAUUAUUGUAUUAGACACCUUUUUUCAUAUUUUGUACCUGUAUUUCAUGAUUAUAUAACAAAUAGAUGAGGGACAGUUGUGUGACUUUCAGGUGUGCUGUGGUUUUUAUUCUGCAUGAUGGGAAAAGAGAGAGAAGGAGAGAAGAAAUAGAGGAAGAGUGGAUCUGGGAAAGGCUGUGAGAUGUAGGGGGCUCGGAUGAUAGAGGGAGUGAGAAAGAAGAGAGGAGAGUAAGGGUGAUUCAGGGAGAGGGUAGAUGUAGGGGGCUCGGAAGGUAAAGAGGGUGAGAAAGAAGAGAAUAGAGUAAGGGUGAUUCAGGGAGAGGGUAGAUGUAGGGGGCUCGGAAGGUAGAGGGAGUGAGAAAGAAGAGAAUAGAGUAAGGGUGAUUCAGGGAGAGGGUAGAUGUAGAGGGCUCGGAAGGUAGAGGGAGUGAGAAAGAAGAGAAGAGAGUAAGGGUGAUUCAGGGAGAGGGUAGAUGUAGAGGGCUCGGAAGGUAAAGGGAGUGAGAAAGAAGAGAAUAGAGUAAGGGUGAUUCAGGGAGAGGAUAGAUGUAGGGGGCUCGGAAGGUAGAGGGAGUAAGAAAGAGAAGAGAAGAGAGGAAGGGUGAUUCAGGGAGAG